AGUGAACGCUGGCGGUAGGCCUAACACAUGCAAGUCGAACGGCCGCACAGUAAGAGCUUGCUCUUACUGGUGGCGAGUGGCGGACGGGUGAGGAAUACGUCGGAAUCUACUUUUUCGUGGGGGAUAACGUAGGGAAACUUACGCUAAUACCGCAUACGACCUACGGGUGAAAGCAGGGGAUCUUCGGACCUUGCGCGAUUGAAUGAGCCGAUGUCGGAUUAGCUAGUUGGCGGGGUAAAGGCCCACCAAGGCAACGAUCCGUAGCUGGUCUGAGAGGAUGAUCAGCCACACUGGAACUGAGACACGGUCCAGACUCCUACGGGAGGCAGCAGUGGGGAAUAUUGGACAAUGGGCGCAAGCCUGAUCCAGCCAUACCGCGUGGGUGAAGAAGGCCUUCGGGUUGUAAAGCCCUUUUGUUGGGAAAGAAAAGAAGCAGGUUAAUACCCCGCUGUUCUGACGGUACCCAAAGAAUAAGCACCGGCUAACUUCGUG
rnacentral:rRNA from 1 species